rnacentral:rRNA from 1 species
AUUGAACGCUGGCGGCAGGCCUAACACAUGCAAGUCGAACGAGUGGCGGACGGGUGAGUAAUGUCUGGGAACCUGCCCGAUGGAGGGGGCUAACUACUGGAAACGGUAGCUAAUAUCGCAUACCAUCGGAUGUGCCCAGAUGGGAUUAGCUAGUAGGUGGGGUAACGGCUCAUCUAGGCGACGAUCCCUAGCUGGUCUGAGAGGAUGACCGGCCACACUGGGACUGAGACACGGUCCAGACUCCUACGGGAGGCAGCAGUGGGGAAUAUUGCACAAUGGGCGCAAGCCUGAUCCAGCCAUGCCGCGUGUAUGAAGAAGGCCUUCGGGUUGUAAAGUACUUUUAGCGAGGAGGCGUUACCCGCAGAAGAAGCACCGGCUAACUCCGUGCCAGCCGCCGCGGUAAUAC